rnacentral:misc_RNA from 1 species
CCAGUCUCUCCCGUUCACAGGGUUCUGCAGUGCUCUCGCAGCAGUGCGAAAGGGAGGCAACCUCGCGCGAGGGAAGCACGCGUAGACGAAGAGCAGCGGAAUGUAUGCAUGCCCAUCGUAUGGCAUGUUUGCAUACUUGCCUUCAUUUCCCUCGUCUCAGCGCCAUCGUGCUGUACAGGUCUACUGGAGACGGCCUGUUUGGCCACGGAUGAGGGCACCCCGCGCCCGUCCUGGUGCGGGCAGAGGUGCACUGCAGGGUUGAGGCUGCACAUCAUCCUCCCUGGUAUGCAAUGGCCAGUGGCUGUGGAACGCAGGUUCUCUUCAUCCGUAACCCACUUUUCAUUCACUAUCCCGCUUCGCCACCCAUUUCGUAGCCGGGACGCGGGGUCUGAUACGGCGCCCCUAGUCAUGGCGCAGAUGCCUGAACGCGCUACAUUUCUCAUAUCCUUUUUUUUGCCGGUGAGGUAGGGCUGUCGCCGAUAUGCGCAAUCGGUGCAUAUUGCGUGCGCCCCACGCGUAGCGCACAUGGGAUUGUUCCUCUGCACUUUACCCCUACUUCUGCGGGUUUCAGACUAUGGAUCUCUCGCGCUUGCUUGCGCUCCAUGGCAAAUUUUAUCCGCAUCCCCCUCAUGAGGCUCAGCGCCUUUUUUGAUUGUUUUCCUUUUUGGCUUUUCGUUUUUUUUUUGUAACCCCGCUUUCCCCGUUAAGCAUUCAUACUUCAGUGUUGUUGUUUUCAAAAGUGUCAGCGCUGCGCGCGCCCUCGUCGUCCCUUUCCUUUUCGUGUGCUUCCGAAUUUCGUUUGCCCCGAUUUUUUUCUGCGGCGGGUCAUAUGACUGUCUGCACGCAUUUGCCUCGAUCCGAACGAAAAAAAAAAACAAAAAACCCGCACCACUGACGCAACCAGUGCCGCUACCAAGCAGAUGCCCUGAUGCUGAUGGUCACUUGAGCUGCGCGACAGGGUGAUGCGCGGCCCGACAAGGAGCGGCUCAGACCGUUAACGUCAUACUUCACGCGCUCUUCUUUCCCAAUACCUUCUCGGUUUCCCUACGAGGGGAGUGGACACCCUUUUCAGUGCGUGGUAUCUCAGGGUCCAGCGCACCCCCUCUACCCCUCUGCCAAGUGCCGAGCCACCUCUGGUGGUGGCAGGGCCAGGUGCCUAGGACGCAGGAAAGCCAGGUCGACUCGCCGCUACUGAUGCCAGCGGCCAGGCAGUGGAUGGGGCUGCGUCGGGUCGACCUGCGACAGUGGACGCACUCGUGCCAUCCAUGCGAUGGGCAGGGUGUGUCGACGCGGCUCGAGCGUAUCCCCACCCCCGGCCCUCACCGACUACUGGUGAGUGGGCCUGGGCCACCGGGAGGGGGAUGCGGCAGGUGACGACGGCCGUGGUAUGAGCGGCUGCGAGGCGUGGGGUGGGUAGGGCUUCGCGCGAAGGACGCGGUCUCAGAUGGGCGAGCUCGCUUAUUGCGGUGGCGUUUGGCUACCGCUGCACUGCACCACGCCGAUGGUUCGGCGGCAGGCUGGGGGUAGAAUGGUGUUUGAAUUCACGCUCCAUGUAAGAGAAUGGGCUUCCGUGCAGUGAAAAAUGCUUCGACAAUUUCUAUCAGCCCCCACUUGCCACACCCGCCCCUGUCCUUUGGCCAUCGUGAAACGCGCCCCGCUGGCCGUCCACGCCCCUCCCGCUCCGAGCCACGGCGAAAG